rnacentral:rRNA from 1 species
GACGAACGCUGGCGGCGUGCCUAAUACAUGCAAGUAGAACGCUGAAGAGAGGAGCUUGCUCUUCUUGGAUGAGUUGCGAACGGGUGAGUAACGCGUAGGUAACCUGCCUUGUAGCGGGGGAUAACUAUUGGAAACGAUAGCUAAUACCGCAUAACAAUGGAUGACCCAUGUCAUUUAUUUGAAAGGGGCAAAUGCUCCACUACAAGAUGGACCUGCGUUGUAUUAGCUAGUAGGUGAGGUAACGGCUCACCUAGGCGACGAUACAUAGCCGACCUGAGAGGGUGAUCGGCCACACUGGGACUGAGACACGGCCCAGACUCCUACGGGAGGCAGCAGUAGGGAAUCUUCGGCAAUGGGGGCAACCCUGACCGAGCAACGCCGCGUGAGUGAAGAAGGUUUUCGGAUCGUAAAGCUCUGUUGUAAGUCAAGAACGAGUGUGAGAGUGGAAAGUUCACACUGUGACGGUAGCUUACCAGAAAGGGACGGCUAGCUACGUG